AACACGAAAUUCAAAGGGAAACAGGAGCAAUCAUCAUUACCAGCUGCCGUGUUAAGCAUUGCGAAAACGCUCACGAUUCACAGAAAAAUCCAUGCUGUUCUUUGAAGGCAUUCAAGCCUUAAUAGCUAGCUGGAUGAAUGUUUAACUUCUAGGCCAGGCACUACUCUGUCCCAACAAUAAGCCCUGUACAUUGGGAAAGGUGCCGAGACAUGAACUUUGGUCUUCUCUGCAAUCCAUCUGGAGCAUUCACUGACAACAUCGACUUUGAAGUUGCACUGACCUGGCCAGCCCUGCCACUUACCAGGCUGUGGCUUGCCUUUUCACUUCUUGUGUCCUGUUUAAGAAAUAUCUGCUAUCCCAAGAUAACACUAACAAAGUUGACCUUAGAAUUGGAGUGCCUGGGUUAGAACCCUGCUGGUACCACCUGCUUACUGCAUGCUUCUGAUGUGAGUUCAGGAGAAGACACUGGCAAGGACAGCAAAGAACAGGAGAACACUCUAGCUUCCCUGAUAGCAUUCAAGGUGCUGUCCAAAGCUCUUGAGUUUCUGCUUUCAAGUGACCCUCAGAAAUUCCUCCAUUCACUGCAGAGGUUCUGUUUCUCCUUGCUUUGUUCUGACUUUACGGCAGAACUAAGCUAAUGAGUUAGUUACUAUGGGUUAUCACUUGGAUUUGAAGAACCAUCAUUUCUAGGCAUUGCUGCUCAGAGUGACCUUGCCAUCGUAUCCCCUUUUGGAGACACAAGCCAGGAAGGAAGCUCUUCAGUGCAGCUGUGAAUAGAGAAAUGCUGGCUGAGGUUUUGGAGACACUGGGUGAUCAUUCCCAGUGAAAUUUUUAGAUCCCUGGGGACAUGAGCUGCUUUGUCUUUUCCAAGGUCAGGAUAAACAGAAUAACUUCAGGCUUCUCUACCCAGAAAGAACAUGUGGCAUAAAUAUCAACUGCAGAAUAAAUAUGAUUAAUCU
ensembl:lncRNA CASC19 cancer susceptibility 19